UGGGGAAUAUUGCACAAUGGGCGCAAGCCUGAUGCAGCCAUGCCGCGUGUGUGAAGAAGGCCUUCGGGUUGUAAAGCACUUUCAGCGGGGAGGAAGGCGUUAAGGUUAAUAACCUUGGCGAUUGACGUUACCCGCAGAAGAAGCACCGGCUAACUCCGUGCCAGCAGCCGCGGUAAUACGGAGGGUGCAAGCGUUAAUCGGAAUUACUGGGCGUAAAGCGCACGCAGGCGGUCUGUCAAGUCGGAUGUGAAAUCCCCGGGCUCAACCUGGGAACUGCAUUCGAAACUGGAAGGCUAGAGUCUUGUAGAGGGGGGUAGAAUUCCAGGUGUAGCGGUGAAAUGCGUAGAGAUCUGGAGGAAUACCGGUGGCGAAGGCGGCCCCCUGGACAAAGACUAACGCUCAGGUGCGAAAGCGUGGGGAGCAAACAGG
rnacentral:rRNA from 1 species